UCAACUGCAGUGACCAGGACAUUACCACCAAAGCAGAACUUCUAAAACAGAAUUCUAAAAUGUUCUUCCCAUGCCUUGAUUUUAUCUCAAGGCAUCAAAAGGCAAGACUGCGGUCUGGGGCCAAAUGUGAAAAACGUCAUCGCCACAAAGGAGGAGAGCAGUCAAGGGCUUUUAAAAAUCAGAUCUCAAAUAAGGCCACCAACCAGUAUCAAUCAGUUUGUGAAACCAGGGUGUCUGCAGCCAGGGACAGACCGCGCUGGCUACUGUGAGCUACGGGAACAAAGGCUGGGGGGCUCAAAACGAGCCAGUGGCAGGGCUCACCUUCUGCUUUCUUCGUAGAUUUUAUCUUAUUUGCAUAUUUUUAGAUGAGAGACUAUGGCUGCGUUUGGGCACAACUCUGGGUGGACGCAGUCAGUGCCAGGAAACACACAGCAGCGCCCUGCGGGGUCCCCCGGGAGCUCCGAGUUCCCAGGCUGAAGGGAAGGAAUUGUUGCUCCUCUGCUGCCCUGUCUUAGAGCCAGGCGAUUAUGGACUGAAACCUCUGUGAACUAUAAGCCAAAUAAAACUUUCCCUUUCUAA